rnacentral:rRNA from 1 species
UUUUUAGAGUUUNGAUUCCCCGCUCAGGACGAACGCUGGCGGCGUGCCUAAUACAUGCAAGUCGAACGCUUCUUUCCUCCCGAGUGCUUGCACUCAAUUGGAAAGAGGAGUGGCGGACGGGUGAGUAACACGUGGGUAACCUACCCAUCAGAGGGGGAUAACACUUGGAAACAGGUGCUAAUACCGCAUAACAGUUUAUGCCGCAUGGCAUAAGAGUGAAAGGCGCUUUCGGGUGUCGCUGAUGGAUGGACCCGCGGUGCAUUAGCUAGUUGGUGAGGUAACGGCUCACCAAGGCCACGAUGCAUAGCCGACCUGAGAGGGUGAUCGGCCACACUGGGACUGAGACACGGCCCAGACUCCUACGGGAGGCAGCAGUAGGGAAUCUUCGGCAAUGGACGAAAGUCUGACCGAGCAACGCCGCGUGAGUGAAGAAGGUUUUCGGAUCGUAAAACUCUGUUGUUAGAGAAGAACAAGGACGUUAGUAACUGAACGUCCCCUGACGGUAUCUAACCAGAAAGCCACGGCUAACUACGUGCCAGCAGCCGCGGUAAUACGUAGGUGGCAAGCGUUGUCCGGAUUUAUUGGGCGUAAAGCGAGCGCAGGCGGUUUCUUAAGUCUGAUGUGAAAGCCCCCGGCUCAACCGGGGAGGGUCAUUGGAAACUGGGAGACUUGAGUGCAGAAGAGGAGA